AGCUUUUCCCAGCCAAAGGAGAGAAGGGAAGGAUGAGCCCCCAACUUCCUCCUUCCUGGGUGUGGCUUCCUUCACAACCCAGACUCUUGGCAUCCUCUUGUUCACUCCCACCCACCCAGCUUGUUGUCAAACCUUUUCGCUAAUGAAGACAUAAAUAGCUCACAAUGCUUGACAGGAGGCUUCUCUUAGCAGUUCUGUGUUUUCACCUGGACCACACACUAAAACAAAGGACUAACCCAAGGGCACAGGUCCAAAGGAUUGCUAUGGCUAAAGGCUGACCAAAGACCAGAGCAAAGAAGAAGGAUGACAAAAUGCAAGAAGUGUUUGAGAGGUGUUGUGGUCCAGUGACGUCGAUUUAAAGCCACGCUUAGAUCAGACUGUUUGGGAAGCAAAGGGGAGAAGUGAGGAUGUUACUUGUCUUGGAAAGAGCCUGCACCAGCAGAGCAGAGGCCAAGCUGUACCUGACAAAUGUGCUAUAGUCUCAGCACUGGAUCUAGGACAGGGGAAAAUGGCUGCUCCGUUUUCGAGAUCCGUCUGGGCAGCUGACUUUGCAGAUGGGAUCUACUGGUUGCAUUUCUAAGCUUGAGAGAUCAUCUUCUCUUUACCUUGAAGGUGUUGGAACCAGUGUUUAAAUUGUGAAAGAUCAUUGCUUCAAGAUGCUGGGACGGCUCUGACAACGAAGAAGGAAAGGCUCAUUUCCUUAUCUAUAAAACAACUCGAUCUUCUGGACUUCAAAGGACUGUUGGUAUCUCGAAUAAGACAAGAAACAUGAGAGUACAUUGUGAAUGACUAUACAAAUGUAAGGAAACUUUGAAAAACAAGAUCUAUUUGAUACCUGAUCUUAAUUUUUUAAACCAUGAAUCAAAAUACUUGGAAAGGAGACUGUAGUUAAGAUGAAUACAGAAGAGGAAUG
rnacentral:lncRNA from 1 species